rnacentral:rRNA from 1 species
GUUUGACCUCAAAUCAGGUAGGGUU